rnacentral:rRNA from 1 species
ACGAACGCUGGCGGCGUGCUUAACACAUGCAAGUCGAACGGAAAGGCCCUGCUUUUGUGGGGUGCUCGAGUGGCGAACGGGUGAGUAACACGUGAGUAACCUGCCCUUGACUUUGGGAUAACUUCAGGAAACUGGGGCUAAUACCGGAUAGGAGCUCCUGCUGCAUGGUGGGGGUUGGAAAGUUUCGGCGGUUGGGGAUGGACUCGCGGCUUAUCAGCUUGUUGGUGGGGUAGUGGCUUACCAAGGCUUUGACGGGUAGCCGGCCUGAGAUGGUGACCGGCCACAUUGGGACUGAGAUACGGCCCAGACUCCUACGGGAGGCAGCAGUGGGGAAUAUUGCACAAUGGGCGGAAGCCUGAUGCAGCAACGCCGCGUGCGGGAUGACGGCCUUCGGGCUGUAAACCGCUUUCGCCUGUGACGAAGCGUGAGUGACGGUAAUGGGUAAAGAAGCACCGGCUAACUACGUG